rnacentral:snoRNA from 10 species
GUCCUCUGAUGACUUCAUGUUAGUGCCACCUGUCUGGGCCACGGAGAACCCAUGAUGGAACUGAGAAUCUGAGGAA